CUAAGGUUUCCUGUUUCGAAGUUCAUCUGAGCAGGGUCAGCCGGCUCCUUAGGCCAAAGCGGAAGCGCAUAACCGAUGGAAAUCACGUUAACAUUCGUGAGCCUCUCUUUGAGCAACUUGGAACCUAUGGUGUAAAAUCUAAUUGGAUUGAUUUUGCUUCGUAGUGUUUAACAGGAAAAACCUCAAAGCCUCCGGCCGUACCGCAAACCGACACUGGUAGUCUAGUUGAGCAUACUAAGGCGUUUUGGGUCAUUUGCGCUGAAGGAACUCGGCAAAUUGAACGCGUAACCUCGGGAGAAGCGUUGCCUCCCUCGGCGCAAGCCGAGAUGGCGUAACACAAAAGGGGGGAGCGACUGUUUACCAAAAACACAGGACUCUGCCAAAUCGAAAGAUGAUGUAUAGGGUCUGACGCCUGCCCAGUGCUGGCAAACGAAAGUUGAAUGUUUCAAACCAUUUGACAUAAGUCCCAGUAAACGGCGGCCGUAACUAUAACGGUCCAAAGGUAGCGAAAUUCCUUGUCGGGUAAGUUCCGACCUGCACGAAUGGCGUAACGACUUCCCCGCUGUCUCCAGCGCAAGCCCAGCGAAAUUGAAUUCCCCGUGAAGAUGCGGGGUCCUCGCGGCUAGACGGAAAGACCCCGUGCACCUUUACUACAACCUUGCGUUGGAAGAUAUCAAAAACAUGCGUAGCGUAAGCGGCAGGCGACAACCCUUCAGUUCCGGCCGAAGGCGAGCCCACAAUGAAACACCGUUCUUGUUUUCCGAUUCUUUCUAAUUGAAAUAAGCCAAUCUCAUUUCGAAACCCCGCAAGGUGGCUAGUUUGACUGGGGCGGUCGCCUCCCAAACAGUAACGGAGGCGUGCAAAGGUAAGCUCAAACCGGUUUGGAACCGUUUGUUGAAGCGCAAUGGCACAUGCUUGCCUGACUGCGAAGACCCACAAGUCAAGCAGAGACGAAAGUCGGCCAUAGUGACCCGGUGGUUCCAAGUGGAAGGGCCAUCGAUCAACGGACAAAAGGUACGCCGGGGAUAACAGGCUAAUAGCUCCCGAGAGCACUUAUCGACGGAGCUGUUUGGCACCUCGAUGUCGACUCAUCGCAUCCUGGGACUGAAGAAGGCCCCAAGGGUAUGGCUGUUCGCCAUUUAAAGCGGUACGUGAGUUGGGUUCAGAACGUCGCAAGACAGUUCGGUCCCUAUCUGCCGCGAGCGCAAGAGUGUUGACGGGCCCUCCCUCCAGUACGAGAGGACCGAGGGAGCCGUACCGCUGGUGUUCCUGUUGUCCCGCCAGGGGCAUGGCAGGUUAGCUACGUACGGAAAGGAUAACCGCUGAAAGCAAAUAAGCGGGAAGCCUCCCCGAAGAUUAACACUCUAUGUUAGAGUCGUGGAAGAUCACCACGUUGAUAGACCAGAUGUGCAAGCAUGGAAACAUGUUUCAGCUAACUGGCACUAAUUCUCGAAAGUUGACGAA
rnacentral:rRNA from 1 species